rnacentral:lncRNA from 1 species
UGGUCUGGUAAUGUUGCCUUACCAAUUUUUGCAGCCUAUUACAUUACUGAUUGACCUUUGUAUAGAACAGGCUUUUGUUAAUCUUGCUUUCCUGUGAGGCAGAUUCAGAGUUGCUUAUGAAUGAUGGGUGUGCAACAGAUGGCCAGAUCUCUGAAGGUGGUUCACAGGACGAGUUGGAGGUUUUGGAUUUAAGUUCCUUUUGCUUUGUCCUCUUCUUUCAAGUUAACUUACUGUUUCUUUAUGCAAUUGUUU